AACGCAUAUUGCGCCCAUUAGUAUUCUAUUGGGCAUGCCUGUUCGAGCGUCAUUUCAACCCUCAAGUUAUUAUAGCUUGGUGCUGGGGCUCUCUGUUGUACAUGUACUACAGGCCCUGAAAGACAUUGGCGAGUCCGCUGUAAACCCGAGCGUAGUAGAUUAUUCUUUUUCGCUUAGGGGCAUAUAGUGGGUAUCAGCCGUUAAAUAAUUCUUAAAAUUAAAGGUUGACCUCGGAUCAGGUAGGAAUACCCGCUGAACUUAA
rnacentral:misc_RNA from 1 species